rnacentral:rRNA from 1 species
AUACGUAGGGUGCAAGCGUUAAUCGGAAUUACUGGGCGUAAAGCGUGCGCAGGCGGUUUUGUAAGACAGUGGUGAAAUCCCCGGGCUCCACCUGGGAACUGCCAUUGUGACUGCAAGGCUGGAGUGCGGCAGAGGGGGAUGGAAUUCCGCGUGUAGCAGUGAAAUGCGUAGAUAUGCGGAGGAACACCGAUGGCGAAGGCAAUCCCCUGGGCCUGCACUGACGCUCAUGCACGAAAGCGUGGGGAGCAAACAGGAUUAGAUACCCUGGUAGUCCACGCCCUAAACGAUGUCAACUGGUUGUUGGGGAUUUAUUUUCUCAGUAACGAAGCUAACGCGUGAAGUUGACCGCCUGGGGAGUACGGCCGCAAGGUUAAAACUCAAAUGAAUUGGCGGGG